UGGGGAAUAUUGCACAAUGGGCGAAAGCCUGAUGCAGCAACGCCGCGUGAGGGACGACGGCCUUCGGGUUGUAAACCUCUUUAGCAAGGAAGAAGCGAAAGUGACGGUACUUGCAGAAAAAGCGCCGGCUAACUACGUGCCAGCAGCCGCGGUAAUACGUAGGGCGCAAGCGUUAUCCGGAAUUAUUGGGCGUAAAGAGCUCGUAGGCGGUUUGUCGCGUCUGCUGUGAAAACCCGAGGCUCAACCUCGGGCCUGCAGUGGGUACGGGCAGACUAGAGUGCGGUAGGGGAGAUUGGAACUCCUGGUGUAGCGGUGGAAUGCGCAGAUAUCAGGAAGAACACCGAUGGCGAAGGCAGAUCUCUGGGCCGUAACUGACGCUGAGGAGCGAAAGGGUGGGGAGCAAACAGGCUUAGAUACCCUGGUAGUCCACCCGUAACGUUGGGAACUAGUUGUGGGUCCAUUCCACGGAUUCCGUGACGCAGCUAACGCAUUAAGUUCCCCGCCUGGGGAGUACGGCCGCAAGGCU
rnacentral:rRNA from 1 species